rnacentral:misc_RNA from 1 species
UCCUCUGGUAGUACUAUGUUUC